GACGAACGCUGGCGGCGUGCUUAACACAUGCAAGUCGAACGAAGAGCGAUGGACGCUUGCUUCUAUCAAUCUUAGUGGCGAACGGGUGAGUAACGCGUAAUCAACCUGCCCUUCAGAGGGGGACAACAGUUGGAAACGACUGCUAAUACCGCAUACGAUCUAAUCUCGGCAUCGAGGAUAGAUGAAAGGUGGCCUCUACAUGUAAGCUCUCACUGAAGGAGGGGAUUGCGUCUGAUUAGCUAGUUGGUGGGGUAACGGCCUACCAAGGCGAGGAUCAGUAGCCGGUCUGAGAGGAGGAACGGCCACAUUGGGACUGAGACACGGCCCAGACUCCUACGGGAGGCAGCAGUGGGGAAUCUUCCGCAAUGGACGAAAGUCUGACGGAGCAACGCCGCGUGAGCGAUGACGGCCUUCGGGUUGGAAAGCUCUGUUAAUCGGGACGAAAGGCCUUCUUACGAAUAGUGAGAAGGAUUGACGGUACCGGAAGAGAAAGCCACGGCUAACUACGUG
rnacentral:rRNA from 1 species